rnacentral:rRNA from 1 species
GCCCAGACAACCAGGAUGUUGGCUUAGAAGCAGCCAUGCAUUCAAAGAGUGCGUAACAGCUCACUGGUCGAGUGGACAUGCGCCGACAAUACACGGGGCUAAGCUGGACACCGAAGCGGCGGGAUUUUAAUUCAUUAGAAUCGGUAGGGGAGCUUCCCAUGGGCGGGGAAGCCGCCGGGCGACCGGCGGUGGAGCGCAUGGGAGUGAGAAUGCUGGCAUGAGUAGCGAGAGACGAGAGAGUAACUCGUCCGCCGUGAACCCGAGGUUUCCUGGGCAAGGCUAAUCCUCCCAGGGUCAGUCGGGGGCUAAGGCGAGGCCGGGAGGCGUAGCCGACGCGCAGCAGGCAGACAUUCCUGCACCGCGCACGCGGCGCUACGACCGACGGGGCGACGGAUGGGGGUGGCUCGGCGGGGUUCUGGACGUCCCCGUGAUGGAGCGCGGCCCGCGGACCAGGGAAAUCCGGUCCGCACGAGGGCGAGGCUCCGGACGAAGCGAUCAAGCGAAGCGAGUGAGCCCGAGGUCCCUAGAAAAACCCCUAGGCAGGCGCGUGCGCGCCCGUACCGCAAACCGACACAGGUGGGUGGGUAGAACAUACCGAGGCGAUCGGGUCAACCAUGGUCAAGGAACUCGGCACAAUGGCCCCGUAACUUCGGGAGAAGGGGUGCCCGCGCGUACGUGAACGGACUUGCUCCGGGAGCGGAGGCGGGCCGCAGUGGAGAGGCCCAAGCGACUGUUUACCAAAAACACAGGACUCUGCAGAAGCCGCAAGGCGACGUAUAGGGUCUGACGCCUGCCCGGUGCCGGAAGGUCACGCGGAGGAGUUAGCUUUCGAGCGAAGCCCCGAAGCCAAGCCCCGGUAAACGGCGGCCGUAACUAUAACGGUCCUAAGGUAGCGAAAUUCCUUGUCGGGUAAGUUCCGACCUGCACGAAAGGCGCAACGACUUGGGCGCUGUCUCGACCAUGGACCCGGUGAAAUUGCACUGGUCGUGAAGAUGCGACUUACCCGCGGAAGGACGGAAAGACCCCGUGAACCUUCACUGCAGCUUGGCAUUGGCCGCUGGUCCCGCGUGUAGAGGAUAGGCAGGAGGCAUCGAUCCGGAGGCGCCAGCCCCCGGGGAGCCGCCCUUGGAAUACUGCCCUCGCGCGACCGGCGUCCUAACCCGAGGCCGUCACCCGGCUCGGGGACCGUGCCAGGCGGGCAGUUUGACUGGGGCGGUCGCCUCCUAAAGGGUAACGGAGGCGCGCGAAGGUCCGCUCGGGACGGUCGGCAACCGUCCUUUUGAAUGCAAGAGUACAAGCGGGCUUGACUGCGAGGCCCACAAGCCGAGCAGGUGCGAAAGCAGGCUCUAGUGAUCCGGCGGCCCCGAGUGGGUGGGCCGUCGCUCAACGGAUAAAAGGUACUCCGGGGAUAACAGGCUGAUCUUGCCCAAGAGUCCACAUCGACGGCAAGGUUUGGCACCUCGAUGUCGGCUCAUCGCAUCCUGGGGCUGGAGCAGGUCCCAAGGGUACGGCUGUUCGCCGUUUAAAGCGGUACGCGAGCUGGGUUCAGAACGUCGUGAGACAGUUCGGUCCCUAUCCUCCGUGGGCGCAGGAGAAUCGAUGGAGGCUGCCCCCAGUACGAGAGGACCGGGGUGGACGCACCUCCGGUGAACCGGUUGUCGACCAACGGCACGGCCGGGUAGCCGCGUGCGGCGCGGAUAACCGCUGAAGGCAUCUAAGCGGGAAGCCGUUCCAGGGAUUAGUUCUCCUUCCGGUAAGGGCCCAGGUAGACUACCUGGUCGAUAGACGGCAGGUGCAAGGCUGGCGACAGCCUCAGCCGAGCCGCACUAAUCGCCCGAGCUCUUCCGGAA